GCUCCGGUGGCUUAGUGGUUAGAGCGUCCACCUCCGAUGCGGGAGGUCGUGAGUUCAAACCAAAUCCGAGUCAGAGCA